rnacentral:rRNA from 1 species
GCUAUGUAGGGAAGGGAUAAACGCUGAAAGCAUCUAAGUGUGAAGCCCACCUCAAGAUGAGAUUUCCCAUGAUUUUAUAUCAGUAAGAGCCCUGAGAGAUGAUCAGGUUGAUAGGUUAGAAGUGGAAGUGUGGUGACACAUGUAGCGGACUAAUACUAAUAGCUCGAGGACUUAUCCAA